AGAGUUUGAUCCUGGCUCAGGAUGAACGCUAGCGGGAGGCUUAACACAUGCAAGUCGAGCGGUAUUGCCCUUCGGGGUGAGAGAGCGGCGCACGGGUGCGUAACGCGUAUGCAACCUGCCUUAUGCAGGGGGAUAGCCCGGGGAAACCCGGAUUAAUACCCCAUAGAUCAGCGGUUCCGCAUGGGACAAUUGGUAAAGAUUUAUCGGCAUAAGAUGGGCAUGCGUCUGAUUAGCUAGUUGGUAGGGUAACGGCCUACCAAGGCGACGAUCAGUAGGGGUUCUGAGAGGAUUAUCCCCCACACUGGUACUGAGACACGGACCAGACUCCUACGGGAGGCAGCAGUGAGGAAUAUUGGUCAAUGGGCGCAAGCCUGAACCAGCCAUCCCGCGUGAAGGAUGAAUGCCUUAUGGGUUGUAAACUUCUUUUCUGCUAGAAGAAACCCCGGGUCGUGACCCGGGUUGCCGGUAUAGCAGGAAUAAGCAUCGGCUAACUCC
rnacentral:rRNA from 1 species